rnacentral:rRNA from 1 species
AUGAAGCCAAGUGUGCGUGUGUGUUCAUAUGAUAUUGCCUUCACUAUUUGCCACUUUCAAUUGAGCCCAUGUGGCAACUCAGCAGAAUGGCUCACGGCGAUCAUCAAGACGAUGAUGAUGAUUUCAUGGAUGUACCGCAGCAGAAUCGGGCAACUUGACGGACAAAAGACGGCGAUGAGAAGAAGAAACGGAGCUGCUGCUGAGAUGGGUAUGCAGGCUCUGAUGGAUGUCCGGUGCAAGAAUCUAGGGAACCCUGUAUGCGACUGGCUUGGUGAGAUUUACGACCCCGCCUGCAGGGAAUUUGUGAUUUCGGGACGUGGAAGACUGUCGUUGGACGAGGAAUCUGUGUUCUGCACUUUGGGUGUGCCCCGUGGAGAAAUCAAAGUCCCGUAUGAGGUCAAUAAUAAGAUUGAGGAAAUGUUGUUUCCCCGUUUGUUUCAUGGGUUGGCAUCCAUGCCGAACACGACUUUCCUGGCAGAUUCACAGGCCAUGACAACCCAUGGCGAGGUUUUUAAGAUGAAGCUACUCAUGUACCUCAUCUCAGCUGUUUUCGCGCCGACCACUUCUCUUCACCCAAGCAACAAAUGCUUCCCCAUCCUGGCGAAACUGAAAGAUGUGAAGAACAUGAAUUGGUGUAAGUUCAUUGCGGACUUCCUACAUGAUGCAUUCUCAAACAAGAUGUACCAGAAGGGUUGUCGACUACAUUUAAUGCUCAUGUAUGUCGAUUGUCUUGAUCUAUCCACCAUGAACUUCACUGGGACUGGAGGCCCGCCGCCUACACACAAGUUUUCUAUUUCUGCGUGGACUUACGAUGCUGUCAAGGCUGUGCUUACUACAGACAGGGUAACUGAUACCAAAUAUGGGAAACUGCAGCUGAUGGACAAGCAUGCUAUAGACUACAGCGUGUUUGGGGGGCCUCAAAACGUUGGAAAGUGGAUGGACGUGCACUCAGCUCCGUCUUGUCCUACUGAGGCGAGGGCACCUGUUGAGCAUCUAAUUGGGCAGUUUGCAUCCGGAAUGACCAGCUUGCUCGGGAAGUUGUUUGAGGGUUGGACGUCCCUUAAUGGCUCUGAUAGAGAUGCGGUUGCGAGGCAGUUCACUACAUUUGUUGCAGAACGGACACAUCGGCCAGCUAGUUGCCGUGGCCGGUAUGACUACAACAGUUCCCAAGAGCUUCCUGACACACAAGAUGAAGUAGAUGGAGAUCUUGCACUCAAUAAGGACGAUGACGAUGACAUGGAGAACGUGCAACACGACACCGAUGAUGAUGAACAUGUUGAAGUUCAUGUAGGUGGUAAGAAGGGCAAGGCUGCACCAGAUGUUCCCUCACCGAAGAAAUACAUGCCCCCGUCCGACAUCCCUCAGUUUGCGAUCCACUGCUAUAAUCGACAAUCAACUGCUCCUCUUGUCUGCAGCCUGUACAUGCUUCCGUCGAUCAUGCCACCAUCUACCCGGAAGAGUUGUGCCAAAGCGUCCCCUUGUUGCAUUAAGGGAGUCAUCUUUAGAAAGAAUGAAGAGAACAUCAUUUUGCCGUGCUUCACGGUUACAAUGAUUGCAUAA